AAUGAACGCUGGCGGCGUGGAUUAGGCAUGCAAGUCGAACGCGAAAGUUCCCUUCGGGGAGCGAGUAGAGUGGCGAAAGGGUGAGUAAUGCUUGGAUGACCUGCCCUCGAGACGGGGACAACAGUUCGAAAGGACUGCUAAUACCCGAUAGUCCGGUUUAGAUGCGUCUAGAUCGGUAAAUGGUGCUUCCGCUCGAGGAGGGGUUCAAGUCCUAUCAGCUUGUUGGUGAGGUAACGGCUCACCAAGGCGAUGACGGGUAGCCGGACUGAGAGGUUGGCCGGCCACAUGGGAACUGAGACACUGUCCUGACUCCUACGGGAGGCUGCAGUCGGAGAAUCUUCUGCAAGUGGGACGAAACGCCUAGACAGAGCGACGCCGCGUGGGAGGAUAGGAACGGCCCGUCGGGUACGUAAACUCC
rnacentral:rRNA from 1 species